GGUCAUUCUAUAAAAAAAGAAAAAAAGAUUUUAUCCCAGCAAACAGUAAGGAUGUCUGACCUCGUUUUUGGCUACAAAGAUUGCAUUAAACAUAGGAACGUUUUCAUCAAACCUACUGUCAUCGUUACUUCAUAGUAUUAAUAUUAAAUCCGUGUCUAUUCGAUUAUGAGAAUUGCACGCACAUCCCUGGAUGGCGCAAGCGUCUUUCUCGAAAGAGGACAAGGGCGGCACGUCGAAAAUACGUCGAUGAAUUAGGUGCCUAUGGGAGUUGCUUCAUUCUUUCUCGAAAAUAUUUACGUCGCCAGAUUUCCUUUCGCUUGUAGAUCACGUAGCCUCCGAAACGACCUUAUUAGGUACCACAAGUUAAAUACGUAAGGACAGGAAUCGGAGAAAACCAGUGAUACGUACUUAAAACAUUUUUUCAAUUACCGAUGGCUUAAACGAUGUUACAAUAGGUAUACCUUUAAGUAAUCGAUCAUCGAUCGACCGUGUCUCGAUUACGCGUCUGCGCAUUACGCAAGAGAUGUUCACGCGGACGCAUGGUCGGCGUGAUUUGAAAAGAAAAAUGUUCGAACAAACGACUUUCUCUCAUCUCGUGAUCCUUCCUUGAUGCUAGCAGCUUCUUUCGAUGGAGUAAAUCGGACUGGAACUGUGUCACGAACAUCACGAAGAAAUACGAUGAGAUAUAUAACUGAAUUGCGCAACGAACGGAUUUCCAUUACCAGCAGAGUUAUAUCAGGUGCAAUGAAUAAUGCAAAGGUCAACUUCUACUAACACGAAGAGGAAUAUACGUACUUUAAAGGAAAGGGAAAUGAAAAUGCAAUAAUUUACUUGAAUUAAUAUGCCUCAUAAAUAUGGAUAAAAUGAUCACGGAAGUUCACCCCGGUACUAAUUACAACAAGACUUUACUGAUUUUCCAACGAAGUACUUUCAUAAUCAGUGAUGGAAACCUUAGGCUGUCGAUG